rnacentral:rRNA from 1 species
UAAUACGUAGGCAGCAAGCGUUGUUCGGAGUUACUGGGCGUAAAGAGUAUGUAGGCGGUUGGGUAAGUUUGGUGUGAAAUCUCCCGGCUUAACUGGGAGGGUGCGCUAAAGACUGCCUGGCUCGAGUGUGGGAGAGGAAAGCGGAAUUCCUGGUGUAGCGGUGAAAUGCGUAGAUAUCAGGAGGAACACCUGCGGUGUAGACGGCUUUCUGGACCAUAACUGACGCUGAGAUACGAAAGCGUGGGUAGCAAACAGGAUUAGAUACCCUGGUAGUCCACGCCCUAAACGAUGCAUACUUGGUGUUGGCCAUUCACUUGGUCAGUGCCGGAGCUAACGCGUUAAGUAUGCCGCCUGGGGAGUACGGUCGCAAGGCUG